UUCGCCCUUAGAGUUUGAUCCUGGCUCAGAGCGAACGCUGGCGGCAGGCUUAACACAUGCAAGUCGAGCGGGCGUAGCAAUACGUCAGCGGCAGACGGGUGAGUAACGCGUGGGAACGUACCUUUUGGUUCGGAACAACACAGGGAAACUUGUGCUAAUACCGGAUAAGCCCUUACGGGGAAAGAUUUAUCGCCGAAGGAUCGGCCCGCGUCUGAUUAGCUAGUUGGUGAGGUAACGGCUCACCAAGGCGACGAUCAGUAGCUGGUCUGAGAGGAUGAUCAGCCACAUUGGGACUGAGACACGGCCCAAACUCCUACGGGAGGCAGCAGUGGGGAAUAUUGGACAAUGGGGGCAACCCUGAUCCAGCCAUGCCGCGUGAGUGAUGAAGGCCCUAGGGUUGUAAAGCUCUUUUGUGCGGGAAGAUAAUGACGGUACCGCAAGAAUAAGCCCCGGCUAACUUCGUGCCAGCAGCCGCGGUAAUACGAAGGGGGCUAGCGUUGCUCGGAAUCACUGGGCGUAAAGGGUGCGUAGGCGGAUCUUUAAGUCAGAGGUGAAAGCCUGGAGCUCAACUCCAGAACUGCCUUUGAUACUGGGGAUCUUGAGUUCGGGAGAGGUGAGUGGAACUGCGAGUGUAGAGGUGAAAUUCGUAGAUAUUCGCAAGAACACCAGUGGCGAAGGCGGCUCACUGGCCCGAUACUGACGCUGAGGCACGAAAGCGUGGGGAGCAAACAGGAUUAGAUACCCUGGUAGUCCACGCCGU
rnacentral:rRNA from 1 species